CGGACGGGUGAGUAACGCGUGGGUAACCUACCCUGUACACACAGAUAACAUACCGAAAGGUAUGCUAAUACGGGAUAAUAUAUUUGAGAGGCAUCUCUUGAAUAUCAAAGGUGAGCCAGUACAGGAUGGACCCGCGUCUGAUUAGCUAGUUGGUAAGGUAACGGCUUACCAAGGCGACGAUCAGUAGCCGACCUGAGAGGGUGAUCGGCCGCAUUGGAACUGAGACACGGUCCAA
rnacentral:rRNA from 1 species